rnacentral:rRNA from 1 species
GACGAAGGGGGCUAGCGUUGUUCGGAAUUACUGGGCGUAAAGCGCGUGUAGGCGGUUGUCCAAGUUGGAUGUGAAAGCCUUGAGCUUAACUCAAGAAAUGCAUUCAGGACUGGAUGACUAGAGGACCGGAGAGGAUAGUGGAAUUCCCAGUGUAGUGGUGAAAUACGUAGAGAUUGGGAAGAACACCAGUGGCGAAGGCGGCUAUCUGGACAGUUCCUGACACUGAGACACGAAGGCCAGGGGAGCAAACGGG